GCUCGCUGGGGCAGGUGUUUGCUAUUCUCAUCACAUCCUAUCUUGAGAGCUGAUCACCAACGAGGAGAACAAACACUUCCACACAGAAAGGGCUUAUUUCUGCUGUUGGAGAAGGGAGAGGAUUCUGAUUCACAAAAUUCAGAUAGAGUAAAACACAGAAUUUAAAAACCAGGGGAGAAAAGGAUUUUAAAAAAUCUUCCCAGAAGAAAGUCAACCGCUACUUUUUUCUCAAGAAAAACACCCAGCUGUAUUCUUUCCUGGCAUUCCACUGAAAUGAAGUUCUCGGAGAAACCUGAGACGUCCGGUGCCGGGCUGGUGAGCCUUCAUCAGAAGCAGCGGAUGAUGUCCGUCCUCUGAACACAAAUAUGCCUUCUGCUGUUGUGAAGAUGUGCCAUUUUUACUUUCUUUUCCAAGCUAAAACUGGACUUCUAUGGGAUUUUUUCCCAUAAAUUUAGGCUUAUUAAUCAAAGGAAUUCCUGAUAUGACACAGGAAUAACGUGGACAACUUGCCCAGGUAUUAUUUUUUAAAUGAAGAAAAAUCCAAGUUCUGUUUUAUUUUAAAAUACUGGCAAACGUGUGUUGAACGUAUGUCGGUGUUCAAACAUGAGUGUUCACGUCGCGUGGACUUGCGGAUGCGCGAGGUCUUCUUUCCCACCGUCUCUGAUGUGUGCACGUCUCUAUACGGAAUAUUCAAUAAGGGCUUCUGCAGCCUGCGAGGUAACGUUUCUGAGUCCAGCCCCUCACCACCUCCUGGGGCCGCGCAGCCUCCACUGGACAGCGCUUUAAAAGAUCACCUCUCUCCCCCUCACAUUGAAUAAAAAUACACUUCCGUGUAAUGUUCCCUUUUUGAUCCUCGUUCUGCCCUCUGACUCCAAACGAUAAAUCGAAUCUUCCUUCCACGACACAGCCCUUGAGAUGCUGAAGAGGAGGAUCAGUGGCUGUUUGUGAGUCAUCGUUAACUUGAGUGCUUGAUUUAACCAUCCUUAGUUCAUGCAACCCAAUGAAGGAACUAAAUCCUAGAAAUUCUUGUGAAAGCCUGGGCGGGCGCUCUCCCUGAUAAAUCCGGCUGGUAGGGCUUGUUCCCCACCCUCCACCCUCCCUGAGGCUGCCUGUCUUCACCGUCACAACUGUCCUUGGCAGUUCGGCCGCUGUUUAAGAGCACCCAGACCGGGCGGCUUAGACCGCACACACUCGCUUCCCGCGGAUCUGGAGGCUGCGAGGCGGGAGCUCGGCCGUGGUCGGGUUCUGACGAGGCCUCUUCCAGGCGGCAGACAGGGAACGACUUAGCAUAAAGAUCUUGCUCCGGCCCCACAGGGUGGUAGGUGGGUAGCUGCCCCCAUCCCAAACGUGUCCAGCGGGAAGGCCCCAAAGCCGACGAGCUGCUUACACACGAGAUUCCAAGAAGCAGGCGUGGGGACGUGUCCGCGCGUCUCCCGACAUCACGUCGAGGUCCCAGCAGCCUGUUUACUCCGGUUCAGCCUCAGCUCUGCUGGUCUCAGCAUACCACCGAUCCCUCUCCUGCCGGGAACGGUAGUCGCCAGACCCUGUGCCGUCCUCGAGGAACGGCUCCUACUCUUCUCCUGUGCGUCAUGCGUCAUACUUCUUGGCGGCCAGGCCCGUUCCUCUGGCGUCUUGGGGUGGGCCCCGGGAGCACGUCCUUGUUAUGUGGGAGGCUGUCCCUGCGCCCAACAGCCGCACGCUCCGUUGCCCUUUGCAGCCAUCGGUUCCCCAGGACCCCGCCUGGCCGUGGCCAUCUUCAUCUUCUUCCCUGGGAACUCUUUAUUUACAACAGUUCUAGCCCUAAUGUCUAUUUAAGACCCUGUGGUGCUAAUUUAAGCUACGACUUUUUUCCUAA
rnacentral:lncRNA from 1 species